CCCGCUGAACUUAAGCAUAUUAUUAAGCGGAGGAAAAGAAACUAACCAGGAUUCCCUCAGUAACGGCGAGUGAAGCGGGAAGAGCUCAGAUUUAGAAUCUGGGGCCGGGUUCAACCGUGCCUCCGAAUUGUAGUUUUGUGAAGUCGCAUCGCGCGUGCCCGCCCGGGUACAAAUCCUUUGGAAAAGGGUAGCGUGGAGGGUGACAGUCCCGUUCAUGACCCGGGUUUUUUCUUCGUGAAGGGUGCGUCACACGCGUUGCGUGCCUCGUAGAGUCGGGUUGCUUGGGAUCGCAGCCCUAAACGGGUGGUAAAUUCCAUCCAAAGCUAAAUACAGGCGAAAGACCGAUAGCAAACAAGUACCGUGAGGGAAAGAUGCAAAGAACUUUGAAAAGAGAGUCAAAAGUGCUUGAAAUUGUUAAGAGGGAAACGAUCGUGACCGGCUCCCCGUGGCCCCCUGACACUCAGUCCGUCGGCGAGAAGCGGUUGCCGUCUUUCGGGUCGCGACAAACCCCCUUUCAAACCCAGAGCGGACGGGGAGGGGCGGGCCCUCAAAGCCCGCUCCUCUUUCUCCGUCCGCCCGCGAUCCGGUCGAGCCCCGCCGCCGUGGGCGCACUUGUCAGUUGUGGGACGGACCAGCAUCGGUUCGGGGAACGCGGGAGAAGGCCUCACCGGGGGAAGGUGGCGGGCGCUUCACGGCGUCCGCGUUACAGCCUCCGGCCGGGCAACGCCGCUCCCAGAGGACCGAGGGAGUCUUUCUCGACAUUCCACAGCGCACGCCCCCGAUGGCGUGGGAACCCAUCCACCGGUGCCACAGCCGGGCGGGGACAGGGCGGCAAAAAAAACACCGCUCGUGCCCGUUCGCGCUCAGGUGGCGCCGCUUCGGUAGUGGUGUCUCCCAUCCGCGGUGCUUUGCUCAGGAUGCUGGAACUUACGCCGGUCACGACCGACCCGUCUUGAAACACGG
rnacentral:rRNA from 1 species